AAAUUGAAGAGUUUGAUCAUGGCUCAGAUUGAACGCUGGCGGCAGGCCUAACACAUGCAAGUCGAACGGUAGCACAGAGAGCUUGCUCUCGGGUGACGAGUGGCGGACGGGUGAGUAAUGUCUGGGAAACUGCCCGAUGGAGGGGGAUAACUACUGGAAACGGUAGCUAAUACCGCAUAACGUCGCAAGACCAAAGUGGGGGACCUUCGGGCCUCACACCAUCGGAUGUGCCCAGAUGGGAUUAGCUAGUAGGUGGGGUAACGGCUCACCUAGGCGACGAUCCCUAGCUGGUCUGAGAGGAUGACCAGCCACACUGGAACUGAGACACGGUCCAGACUCCUACGGGAGGCAGCAGUGGGGAAUAUUGCACAAUGGGCGCAAGCCUGAUGCAGCCAUGCCGCGUGUAUGAAGAAGGCCUUCGGGUUGUAAAGUACUUUCAGCGAGGAGGAAGGCGUUG
rnacentral:rRNA from 1 species